rnacentral:rRNA from 1 species
AGUUGCCAUCAUUGAGUUGGGCACUCUAAAGAGACUGACCGGGUGGUCAAACCGGAGGAAGGUGGGGAUGACGUCAAGUCCUCAUGGCCUUUAUGACCAGGGCUACACACGUACUACGAUGGCCGGUACAAAGGGCAGCGACACAGCGAUGUGAAGCGAAAUCCCGAAAAGCCGGUCUCAGUCCGGAUUGGAGUCUGCAACUCGACUCCAUGAAGUUGGAAUCGCUAGUAAUCGCGGAUCAGCACGCCGCGGUGAAUACGUUCCCGGGCCUU